rnacentral:rRNA from 1 species
UAAUCGCGGAUCAGCAUGCCGCGGUGAAUACGUUCUCGGGCCUUGUACACACCGCCCGUCGCACCAUGGGAGUCGGUAACACCCGAAGUCUGUAGCCUGACGCAAGAGGGCGCAGCCGAAGGUGGGAUUGAUGACUGGGGUGAAGUCGUAACAAGGUAGC